GGAUGAGAUGAUGAUGGAUUAUUUCCCUAUUGGUUUGAUAGCCGAUAUGAUGGCUACACCUGUAUUAGCUCUAUCUGAUCGCCU